GGGGAUGAUGGGGAUGGGGAAGUGAGAGUCGCUGAGAGGAUUGCUGUGGGCUCGAGCUCUGUAGAAGCGUUUCCUGGGAAGCCGAGCAGACCGGCCAUUGUGCUGCAUGUUAUUGUUAUCGCUCUUCAACAUGGGAAUUCUGAUACAGGCCUACCGUCCUAAUGGCGUAAACUGAUCUAAAUUCAAGUCGAGGUUUCUAGGAGGGUUCAUAGAAACAUUUAAGCGAACACUUCAUAUGCUUGGUUUCAACACUACGUCAUUGAAGAGUAAAUGACCUGCGAAAAUAAUAGAAAUUAGACAUCAACCGCUUAUCAUCAAAGAACAAGAUUUCGCCAUUAUUCUGUAAGGUCUAGAUAGAUAAAACGGCGAAAAUCUAGAUAUAUUCGCCUCAAAGGAAACAUAGAACCAAACAGAAAGAGAAUAUAAGUAAAUACGAAAACAAAAAAAUGGACGAGGAAGGGCAGUCAGAAGCUAAAUGCUUUGAAAUUUGUAGACGACGAUGAAGAACCCUACGUCAUGCUUCGAAAAAAUUGCAGGAAAACCAUAUGGUUUGAAGAAAUAAGACGCAACCAAAUCAAAAUACAGCAACUCCCGAAGUCCACAAAAUAUCCAAUAGAAGCUUUGCAAUUUUAUAAAUCCACAAGAAGAUAAAAGUAUUGAAAAAAAAAAGAAAUGAUCGAGAGAGCCAGCAUAUGACUAAAGAGAGGGUGAUGAUAAUUAGAGACAUAAAAAUAAAAUUAAACGCAAAAAAAUCUGCUUUUUUGCGUCCAAAUCAUCAAUACAAGUGCAUUUUCGAUACCUGACCUCAUUCGAUUCUCUUCUCAAAGGCUAUAAUUCGCUCGUUUUAUUUAUUUUGUCUCUCCCUCUCUCCCUCCCUUGGGUUUAUGCUGCCGCAGCACCAAUCCCUCCCAAGUUCCAAGCGCCAGAACCCUAAACCCUCCUGUAGGUUUGUUAGCGCCGUGUUAUCUCAGCCGUUGAUUCGGAAAAAUAAAUUCGACGGUUGGAAUUGCAUAUCCUAGCGGCAAUCCGAGUCCAACCCAUCUUCCGAGGUAAAUACUUGGAAGCCCAAAAACUUGACCGGGUCCAGGCCGUCAUGAGCACCAAUCCAGCACAAUAACACAAUAUAAGCCCGUCUGCGCCCAGAUCAUAGGCACCGUUCUACUUACGAUUACUAGAAACUCUUUUCUAACUAACUCGUGCACUGGGGUUGUGUUUGAUUUGUAAAUUCAAAAAAAAAAAGAGUAUGAUCAAGAUAAUUUUGCCAGCACUUAUUUAGUAAAAGAAGAAUCAUCAUUGUGCAACACAUACAUGAACAGAUUUGCCCAUAGUAUCAACUAUCUGGUGUUCCUUAGAGCAAUCUUUGUAGUGCCUGAUCUUUCAUGAGCAAGAUCUUAUGAUGCAAUCCUAUGAGAAUAAAACAAUCCCCUUACCUUCAUGUACAUGUAUACAUGUCAGUCCUUUUGAAUCAAAUCCAUCAAUGAGAAUUUCAAGUUCAAACUUUUAAUGCCAGUGAUUUAGAAAUUGAUUUGUAACCCUUUUUAUAUGUCCAACUUUUGUGCCCUGGUACCACAUACGGCUUUAACUGAUACAUUUGACCUCCAAUAUGCAUUUUGAUAGGCCUUGAUUUCAUGGAUAGAUUUCAGCAUAAUUAGCACAAGAAUGGUGAUCUUCCUAACUACAAGUCAGUUGGUCUUAAGAUCAUCGGUUAUCUUGCUACAGAUCAAGUUUUAAUGGUUAGAUCUGCAAGAACUUCGAUUCCAUUUUUUAAUCAUAUCUUGAUAAAAGAGGAGGCAGAGCUGAUCACAUUAACAAUUCCAGAUGCAGAUCUUCAAGCCAAAGAAUGCUUGUUCCUAAGCAAGAACUCCAAGAGAGCAAAUUUAUAUUAGCAUGGAAUAUCGAAUUAUCAGAAAAAUAAUGGAUGCUUAUGCUAAGUUAUGUGCAGAAUACAUGUCUUAAAGUAAUCUUGUAAUGGCAAAAAUUGUAAUAUCAGGGGUAUGUUGAUUGGAGCACCUAGAAAUAAUAAGUACCAUCAUACUUCUCAUUUUUUUCUUGUUAUCUGCUAUACUCUCAAACUUGGCUCUGUAAAUUAUCUCUUUCGAAUAAAAAUUUGGGUGGCUAAGCCUCCCUUUAUCUCAAAAAAAAAAAAAAGACAAAGGAAAUCACAUUAAUUUGGUGGAAACAUACGACCGAUCUCCUUACCAAGUAGAGAGUUUGAAUACCAGAUCAUAAAUUGUCAAAUACAUAACGAAUAAUACUUUCAAGGCAUGCUUUCUAGAGAAACACUCACUUGUAAAAUAUACACCAAGCGAUGAAGGAACAAAUCAACCAUGGAGAGAGGAUGGAAGCAAUAGUGACUCAGAAACAAACAUGACGGUCAUGUUAUCCCUGAAUUUCACAAUCUGCCCUGAUAUGAUGAGGAAGCUUAAUACCUCAAUCUGAACCAACCAAAUUAUGGCAAACUUGGUCCAACCAAAAAAGACCAGAAAUACAGACAAACAUAAUUAAGGAAAGAGUCGAAUGCAAUUCGCUGGGAGGCCUAUCAACCAUUUUGGUUUUCGUAAUAUAAUUUGCAUUAGAUAAUCCCUGUCAAUGACCAUAAGAGAGAAAUCCCAAACCACAUGCAUUGAGUAGAGUCUGAAAUAGGGUUUUAAUCCAGCAAGAACAUCAAAAACCAAAGAAUCCUAUCAACGAACAUAUUCAGAGCAAUACCCAUACGAUCCAUCACGAUUUUAUAUACAUACAAAAAUUAUUUUUUAAAAUUCAAGUCGAGGUUUCUAGGAGGGUUCAUAGAAACAUUUAAGCGAACACUUCAUAUGCUUGGUUUCAACACUACGUCAUUGA
rnacentral:lncRNA from 1 species